UACGAAGGGGGCUAGCGUUGCUCGGAAUCACUGGGCGUAAAGCGCACGUAGGCGGACUCUUAAGUCAGGGGUGAAAUCCUGGAGCUCAACUCCAGAACUGCCUUUGAUACUGAGAGCCUUGAGUCCGGAAGAGGUAAGUGGAACUGCGAGUGUAGAGGUGAAAUUCGUAGAUAUUCGCAAGAACACCAGUGGCGAAGGCGGCUUACUGGUCCGGUUCUGACGCUGAGGCGCGAAAGCGUGGGGAGCAAACAGG
rnacentral:rRNA from 1 species